rnacentral:rRNA from 1 species
AACGUAGGACGCAAGCGUUAUCCGGAAUUACUGGGCGUAAAGCGCGUGUAGGCGGAUGGUUAAGUCAUUGGUGAAAGCUCCGGGCUAAACUCGGAGAGGUCCGAUGAUACUGGUCAUCUAGAGGGGGUCAGAGGGGUGCGGAAUUCCGGGUGUAGUGGUGAAAUGCGUAGAGAUCCGGAGGAACACCAGAGGCGAAGGCGGCACCCUGGGACCAACCUGACGCUGAGACGCGAAAGCAUGGGGAGCGAACGGG